UGCGUAGGCGGCUCAGAAAGUAGGGUGUGAAAGCCCUCGGCUCAACCGAGGAAUUGCGCCCUAAACUACUGGGCUUGAGGGAGACAGAGGUAAGCGGAACUUAGGGUGGAGCGGUGAAAUGCGUUGAUAUCCUAAGGAACACCAGGAGCGAAAGCGGCUUACUGGGUCUUUCCUGACGCUGAGGCACGAAAGCUAGGGGAGCGAACGGGAUUAGAUACCCCGGUAGUCCUAGCCGUAAACGAUGAGCACUGGGUUGGAGGGUCCCCCAUAACCUUCUAGCCGUAGCGAAAGUGUUAAGUGCUCCGCCUGGGGAGUAUGGUCGCAAGGCUGAA
rnacentral:rRNA from 1 species